rnacentral:rRNA from 1 species
AUGUAUUGUGCGCUCACGCAUUCUGAGGUACCGGAGAGCAAUAACGAGAAAAUAUGGAAGGCAAAGAUUCCACUAAAAGUUAAAAUAUUCAUGUGGUAUCUUCGUAGAGGUGUUGUGCUAACCAAAGACAACCUUGCACGACGCAACUGGCCAGAAAGUAAGAAGUGUUGUUUUUGUACUCAUAACGAGACAAUCAAACACCUCUUUUUUCAAUGCAAGUUUGCGCGUUCUACGUGGUCAGUCAUCCAAAUAGCGUCAAAUUUGUAUCCGCCCACAAGUGUUGCCAAUAUUUUUGGUCAUUGGUUGGACGGUAUUUCAAAUAGGUUCAAAACGCUAAUAAGGGUGGGAGCGUACGCCUUACUAUGGUCGCUUUGGCUAUGUAGAAACGCUUUGUUUUUAAUGACAAAAAUGCUUCUCCUUUGCAGGUUAUUUUCUGUUGUACGCACUCGUUUCGUAUGUGGUCUAUGCUACAACGUGCGGAGUACCAACCGCUAUUCAAGGCGGUGUGUACGCGAUUGGAGCAGGUGGCUAUGGAGUUUUUUACCCAACAUGAGUGGCAGCAUAAUCUCCGCAUUGGUCCACCAACCGUUUCGACAUAGGCAUAGUGCCGGUCUAUAG